rnacentral:rRNA from 1 species
GACGAACGCUGGCGGCGUGCUUAACACAUGCAAGUCGAACGGAAAGGCCCUGCUUGCAGGGUCCUCGAGUGGCGAACGGGUGAGUAACACGUGGGUGAUCUGCCCUGCACUUCGGGAUAAGCCUGGGAAACUGGGUCUAAUACCGGAUAGGAGCCAUUUUUAGUGUGAUGGUUGGAAAGUUUUUUCGGUGUAGGAUGAGCUCGCGGCCUAUCAGCUUGUUGGUGGGGUAAUGGCCUACCAAGGCGGCGACGGGUAGCCGGCCUGAGAGGGUGGACGGCCACAUUGGGACUGAGAUACGGCCCAGACUCCGACGGGAGGAAGCAGUGGGGAAUAUUGCACAAUGGGCGCAAGCCUGAUGCAGCGACGCCGCGGGGGGGAUGACGGCCUUCGGGUUGUAAACUCCUUUCGCUAGGGACGAAGCUUUUUGUGACGGUACCUAGAGAAGAAGCACCGGCUAACUACGUG